GAACCUUACCUACUCUUGACAUCCAGAGAAUCCAGCGGAGACGCAGGUGUGCCUUCGGGAACUCUGAGACAGGUGCUGCAUGGCUGUCGUCAGCUCGUGUUGUGAAAUGUUGGGUUAAGUCCCGCAACGAGCGCAACCCUUAUCCUUGUUUGCCAGCGAGUCAUGUCGGGAACUCCAGGGAGACUGCCGGUGAUAAACCGGAGGAAGGUGGGGACGACGUCAAGUCAUCAUGGCCCUUACGAGUAGGGCUACACACGUGCUACAAUGGCGCAUACAGAGGGCAGCAAGCUAGCGAUAGUGAGCGAAUCCCAAAAAGUGCGUCGUAGUCCGGAUUGGAGUCUGCAACUCGACUCCAUGAAGUCGGAAUCGCUAGUAAUCG
rnacentral:rRNA from 1 species